UAAUUGAAGAGUUUGAUCAUGGCUCAGAUUGAACGCUGGCGGCAGGCCUAACACAUGCAAGUCGAGCGGCAGCACAGAGGAACUUGUUCCUUGGGUGGCGAGCGGCGGACGGGUGAGUAAUGCCUGGGAAAUUG
rnacentral:rRNA from 1 species